ensembl:snoRNA U3 Small nucleolar RNA U3
AAGACUAUGCUUUCAGGAAUUAUUCAUUCCUAUAGUUCGUUAUUAGAGAAGUCUCUCUGAAUGAGUAGCACACUAGAAACCACAAGAAGGAGGCACAGUGUUCUUUUCUGAGCAUAAAGUCAGCUUUUGCUGUUGCUUUGCUGCAACUGCCAUUUGCCACUGAUGACUGUUUUCUUCCUCUGGGAGAGUAAGAAGGAGAGGAUGCAGUCUAAGUGGU